GACGUAGGGCGCGAGCGUUGUCCGGAUUUAUUGGGCGUAAAGAGCUCGUAGGCGGUUUGUCGCGUCGUUCGUGAAAACUCACAGCUCAACUGUGAGCUUGCGGUCGAUACGGGCAGGCUAGAGUUCGGUAGGGGAGACUGGAAUUCCUGGUGUAGCGGUGAAAUGCGCAGAUAUCAGGAAGAACACCCGUGGCUAAGGCGGCUCUCUAGUACGGUACUGACGCUGAGACGCGAAAGCGUGGGGAGCGAACAGG
rnacentral:rRNA from 1 species